rnacentral:rRNA from 1 species
AUGGGCUUGCCAUAUGUGCCCGCCACCCAGGUGCAUAACGGCAGCUUCCAUCAAGGUGCCAAUUUCGCCGUUGCCGCCGCCACCACUCUUGACUCCGAUUUCUACCACGAGAGGGAUAUCACCGGUGCACCCAGCAAGUUCCCCCUCAACACCAGCUUAGGAGUGCAGCUUGAGUGGUUCGAGUCCAUGAAGCCCUACUUGUGCCGCACAGAGCGAGAGUGA